GCAUGUGCUGUGAGCUCGAUGAGUAGGGCGGGACACGUGGUAUCCUGUCUGAAUAUGGGGGGACCAUCCUCCAAGGCUAAAUACUCCUGACUGACCGAUAGUGAACCAGUACCGUGAGGGAAAGGCGAAAAGAACCCCGGCGAGGGGAGUGAAAAAGAACCUGAAACCGUGUACGUACAAGCAGUGGGAGCCCCACCACCAAAGCAUUCUCUGGUGUUGAAGGCCCUGCAAAGCAGCAUCGCGGUGGCGGAGCGUCGUUUGCGACGCCCAACACACAAAACAAGCGGUGAGUGCUUUGGGGUGGGGUGACUGCGUACCUUUUGUAUAAUGGGUCAGCGACUUAUAUUCUGUAGCAAGGUUAACCGAAUAGGGGAGCCGGAGGGAAACCGAGUCUUAAUUGGGCGUUAAGUUGCAGGGUAUAGACCCGAAACCCGGUGAUCUAGCCAUGGGCAGGUUGAAGGUUGGGUAACACUAACUGGAGGACCGAACCGACUAAUGUUGAAAAAUUAGCGGAUGACCUGUGGCUGGGGGUGAAAGGCCAAUCAAACCGGGAGAUAGCUGGUUCUCCCCGAAAGCUAUUUAGGUAGCGCCUCGUGAAUUCAUCUCCGGGGGUAGAGCACUGUUUCGGCUAGGGGGCCAUCCCGGCUUACCAACCCGAUGCAAACUGCGAAUACCGGAGAAUGUUAUCACGGGAGACACACGGCGGGUGCUAACGUCCGUCGUGAAGAGGGAAACAACCCAGACCGCCAGCUAAGGUCCCAAAGUCAUGGUUAAGUGGGAAACGAUGUGGGAAGGCCCAGACAGCCAGGAUGUUGGCUUAGAAGCAGCCAUCAUUUAAAGAAAGCGUAAUAGCUCACUGGUCGAGUCGGCCUGCGCGGAAGAUGUAACGGGGCUAAACCAUGCACCGAAGCUGCGGCAGCGACACUCAGGUGUUGUUGGGUAGGGGAGCGUUCUGUAAGCCUGCGAAGGUGGCCUGUGAGGGUUGCUGGAGGUAUCAGAAGUGCGAAUGCUGACAUAAGUAACGAUAAAGCGGGUGAAAAGCCCGCUCGCCGGAAGACCAAGGGUUCCUGUCCAACGUUAAUCGGGGCAGGGUGAGUCGACCCCUAAGGCGAGGCCGAAAGGCGUAGUCGAUGGGAAACGGGUUAAUAUUCCCGUACUUGGUGUUACUGCGAAGGGGGGACGGAGAAGGCUAUGUUGGCCGGGCGACGGUUGUCCCGGUUUAAGCGUGUAGGUGUGUGUUCCAGGUAAAUCCGGUUCACUUUAACACUGAGGCGUGAUGACGAGGCACUACGGUGCUGAAGCAACAAAUGCCCUGCUUCCAGGAAAAGCCUCUAAGCAUCAGGUAACAUCAAAUCGUACCCCAAACCGACACAGGUGGUCAGGUAGAGAAUACCAAGGCGCUUGAGAGAACUCGGGUGAAGGAACUAGGCAAAAUGGUGCCGUAACUUCGGGAGAAGGCACGCUGACAUGUAGGUGAAGUGAUUUACUCAUGGAGCUGAAGUCAGUCGAAGAUACCAGCUGGCUGCAACUGUUUAUUAAAAACACAGCACUGUGCAAACACGAAAGUGGACGUAUACGGUGUGACGCCUGCCCGGUGCCGGAAGGUUAAUUGAUGGGGUCAGCGCAAGCGAAGCUCCUGAUCGAAGCCCCGGUAAACGGCGGCCGUAACUAUAACGGUCCUAAGGUAGCGAAAUUCCUUGUCGGGUAAGUUCCGACCUGCACGAAUGGCGUAAUGAUGGCCAGGCUGUCUCCACCCGAGACUCAGUGAAAUUGAACUCGCUGUGAAGAUGCAGUGUACCCGCGGCAAGACGGAAAGACCCCGUGAACCUUUACUAUAGCUUGACACUGAACAUUGAGCCUUGAUGUGUAGGAUAGGUGGGAGGCUUUGAAGCGUGGACGCCAGUCUGCGUGGAGCCGACCUUGAAAUACCACCCUUUAAUGUUUGAUGUUCUAACGUGGACCCGU
rnacentral:rRNA from 1 species